UACGUAGGGGGCAAGCGUUGUCCGGAUUUAUUGGGCGUAAAGAGCUCGUAGGUGGUUCGGUAAGUCGGAUGUGAAAUCUCCAGGCUCAACCUGGAGGGGUCAUUCGAUACUGCCGUGACUAGAGUUCGGUAGGGGAGUGUGGAAUUCCUGGUGGAGCGGUGAAAUGCGCAGAUAUCAGGAGGAACACCGAUGGCGAAGGCAGGUCUCUGGGCAUUAACUGACGCUGAGGAGCGAAAGCAUGGGGAGCGAACAGG
rnacentral:rRNA from 1 species